rnacentral:rRNA from 1 species
UACGUAGGGUGCGAGCGUUAAUCGGAAUUACUGGGCGUAAAGUGUGCGCAGGCGGCCGCGCAAGUCGAGUGUGAAGCCCCGAGCUUAACUUGGGAAUUGCGCUCGAAACUACGUGGCUGGAGUGUGGCAGAGGAAGGUGGAAUUCCACGUGUAGCGGUGAAAUGCGUAGAUAUCUGGAGGAACACCGGUGGCGAAGGCGGCGUCCUGGACCAACACUGACACUGAUGAGCGAAAGCCAGGGGAGCGAAACGGG